rnacentral:lncRNA from 1 species
GUGGGUAUCAAAACCUAACUCCAUGACUUAGAAACUGUCUCCUAAUGUCCCAAAUGUCUGUUCCUCCUUUUAUUUUAUUUUCAGUCCCUUUUUUAUUUGCUCAAAAUACACAACUUUGUAAAUAUGGCUACAACCCUUUAUGAAAUCAGUCAAAUUACAAGCAAACUCGAUACAAUGGAAUCUGAAAGUGACAGUCGUUCGAAUGUGAAAAAUUCCGGAUCCUUUCAAGCCUAAUAUACCAUAUUUCAUAGAGCUGACUUUACAAGAUGAAAAGGUAACAUAUUCAACUUUCAUAUAGUUAUUAAGUAAUUCCUCUUCUCUGCCGCUUUACUUCAUAAAUUUUUCAAAAUUUUCAAAUACAUGAAGAUGUACUAAUGAAACUCUUAUAUAUAGUACCUGUUUUGCUCUUUCAUGUUAAUAAUAUUCUGAUUAUUUUUCGUUCACAAAGAUAAUCCAAAAAAAAAAUGUUGUUACAUGAUUUUUCAAUUAUAAGGUUAUUGACUUAUUGUUAAGGAACAGGAUUUCGGCAACCGGAUUUUCUUGGUUCUUUAAUAUCUCAUGCAUCACUAUAUUCUCGAAAAAUUACUACUUAUCUUAGCGGCCGGUAGGCAACAUGCUGCGAAAAUCAUAUAUGACUUCUGGAACUAGACAAUUUUGUCAUUUGUUUAUUAGUUGUAGUUUGAAUUGUUAGUAGGAGACUCUAUUUGUGGAGUGAUAUUUGGAGGGAAAAAAAUAGUAGUUUCAGAUUUUGUUUAUGCAAUUUUAUGUCACGAGGCUUAUUAACACAUUUUCUUCACAAUUUGGAUCUGAACAAAUGUUUUGGAUUGUGGGGUUUAUAAGGUCGCACUAGAGUACCCUAAGGUGGCGGCGGUGCUGGAUAUGUGGGCCUGCUAGACUGAUCCCUCACGAAUUGACCCCUGCCCCCAGCCGGGGCACUGCUGAACUCUCCAGAAUACCGAAACCGCUUAUCCCUCGCAGCCUGCUCCCGACCACGCUGACGUGCACCCUCGAUCCUCCGAGAUAUCUCUACAACUAGCUCGUAAGAAGUCCCCAUCUCCACAUCUCGGGCCAUAGUGGCCUAGCUAGCAGAGUGCAAACCGGCAACAAACCUCCGCACCCUCUGUGCAUUGGUCGGAAGUAUCAUAAGUGCAUGGCGAGAUAACUCAGAGAAUCUCGCCUCAUAGUCAGUCACUGACAGCUGGAGCUGCUCAAACUGAAAUUGCAACUCUUCCCUCUAAGAGGGUGGAAUAUACCUGUCCAAGAAGAGGCGUGUGAAGUGGUCCCAAGUCAUGAGAGGAGAACCUGCUGGUCUGCCGAGAAUAUAUGACUGCCACCACCUACGGGCCCUGCCCUCAAGCUGGAAAGUAGUAAAAUCCAGCCCAUGAGACUCCAAUAUCCUCAUGUUGUGCAGUUUGUCCCUGCACCGGUCAAUAAAGUUCUGGGGGGCCUCGUGUCGCUCACCUCCAAAGAUAGGAGGCUAUAGCCUGGUCCAUCUGUCCAAUAGCCUAUGCGGAUCACCGGUCGUAGCUGGUAUGGGCUCAAGUAUAGCUGCUACAACUGGCUGAGCUCCGCCCACGGGUAGUGCGCCCGGGGUAUGAUAUACGGCAGUUGCGUGCCCUGGAGCCUGAGCGGUAGGGGUCUGUGCUCCCCCCUCCCACCUAAGAUGUAGCAGGGUCUGCUGGAAAUAAACCAGCCUAAGUCAUAGAAUCCAUGAACCGUAGAAUACAACCCAUGACCUCCUAGAAUCCCGGUGCGGACAUAAAAUCCAUCGGGGCUGGUCCUGCUGCAGGCACCUCACCCUGCUCCUCAAUAAUAGGAUCCUCUACUGGAUCCGCUCACUACUAGAAACACAGUAUUUUCCCAUGAAAAAAUUGUUAGUGGCAAUUCCCACCGAAAUUCAAUGGGAAAAGUGAAAUUUCUUUUCUACGAAUAAACAAUAAUGUUUCCCAUUGACUAUCUGUGGGAACGUUUUUGCGCAAAAAUGCGUGUAAUUUAGUUCCCUCUGAUUCGGUGGGAAAAGUCAUUAAAAAUAAUUAUAUAAAACUAAAAGAAAUUCCCAGGGAAAACAAUGGGAAAAUAAAAAAAAUAUUUUCAAAUAUUCCCACAGAUUCUGUGUGAACAAAAAAUUUUGAAUUUUGAAUUUUUGUGCUUUAUGAAAGGGUUUUCCCACGGAGAUUUCCCACAUUAGUAGUGGGAAAGUUUUAUUAUUAUUCACAUAACCUUUUAGUUUUCUCUUAGUCUAUUUCGUGUUUUCUCCCUCCGUCUCUCCACUCCAGCGACGAAUUUUUCACCUCACUCAAUUUUCAGGUAAAUCUCUCUCUGUCUCUCUCUCUCUCUCUCUCUCUCUCUCUCUCUCUCACACACACACACACACACACACACACACCCACUCCUUUUACGAUUUUGAUUUUUCGAAACUUAGGGAUUUUCUGCUAUUUCAAACCCUAGGUUUGAGAAAAUUAUUGAUGUUCUCUCGUACAUGUAUAGUCUAAUUAAACCUAAGUCUUUAUUUGUUUCGUCUUAGAAACAAUGAAUUUGUUAAAAGACAAUAUUGAGUUGGUUUAUUCUUGUUAGUUUGGUCUAUUUUUCAGAUCUAUUUUUUUUUAAUAUGGAUUGGUGUUAUGUAUUUACAGGCUUUCUUCACAAACAUGGAUAAAUUAAAAAGAUUUCUAAGUUUCCCAUGUCAAAAUGAGGAAUAUUUUCUUCCUCGAGAACUGUAAACUAAUGUAGUCUUUAUUUAAAAGUAGCUACAGAUUUAACAAUGCAAGCAUAAUCCUGCUAGGACCGCAGACAAACACCUUCUAAAACUAGAGUUUUCUUGAAUUAUGCCACAUUUUUUAUGAUAUAGUUAUUAAAGUAAUGUCUAAGUUUAUAUUGGAAUAUCUUUUGGGAAUGUUUUUCAAAUUCUUUUAAAAGUACAUAAAUGAGGGUGGGCUUGGGUUUGUUCACAGUAAUCUAAAAAUAUAGCUUUUAGUUGAAUUAAAAAAUAAAUAAAAAAGAAAAAGAGUAGUUACUACUAAUAUUUUUCCGAAUUAAAGAGGAGAAAUUAAUGAGUUCAUGACUUAUUUCAUUAGGUUCUUGAAUGUGUCUAUUUGAGAAUGAUUUUAUCUUUUGAGUUCUUGUCUUAGCUUAACAUUUCCAUUUGAUUUUCUUUGUUUAUAGGUGUUUGGUUCUUUAGAAGUUGAAGGUGAUAGAUCUAACUGAGAGCAGAUGCUAGUGGUGCCUAUUAUUUGGCUUAUAGGUAUUGAUUUUUACAAAGAGAUGGUGUAGUAAUUUUUUUCCCAUUAGAAGUACUGAUACAUUAUCUAUAUGCGAGUAAGUUUCAUACAUUAGAUAUUUUUGAAAUAUAUUAAAAUGAUUAAGUCCAGCCAGACUGCUAAGCUUUUUAUCUUUCCGUGUGUUUCACUUUAAAGUUUGAGAAAUAAAGAUACUUACUUGCAUAAAUUUUCUUUAAUAAAGUUUAUUUUUAUAAUAAUUGUAUUUGUUUUUACAGGAUACUUUCAAACGAAGCUUGGAGGAGUUCAUUCAAAAUCAGUCGAUUGAUGAUAACUAUGGAAUACUUGUCACUAGUGAUGUUAAAAGUCUCAAGUCUCAGAUAAACUCCCUCUUAGCAUCUGGUGUAUUUCCUGUGCCCGUUCUCCAGCAUCUGAUGAUAACUAAGGACUAGUUUCUUUUAUUAGUUUGUCCUGGAUGGUAGCUGGAUGUUGAUUAUUGAAUGCUGGAUUUUUUGAGUUUUUGUUCUACUUUCUGUUUAGUUGGAUAUUGUUUAUGAAAUGGAUUGAAUUAGGUGUUGUUUAUGAAAUGGAUUGGAUUUCAUGUUGAAUUUAGUAUUUGAAUGAUUAAUUGUAUUUAGUCUUGUAUUGCUGGUUGUACAUUCUGUUUGGCAGGUGGUAUAGUUCUAAAAAUAAACUUGGCCGUGAAAAUAUUUUCCAGAUUUUCCACGGAUUUCCC